UUCUUAAUUGACUCGUUUUUACGAACCGUUUGCCUUUUUCUUAUAUAGGUCGGGUUGUGUGUUAAUGGACCACGUCUUCAAAAUGAACUUGAUCGGAUUUCAAAAACUGUUGAUACAUCCACCCGAGAUGGUUUCACACGUCUAUUGCGGGGUAAAUAAAGCUACAUUUUUAAUAAUGGUUUUGUUAUAACUUCUUUGGGUAAUUUUUAAAAACCUCCCCUGAGGUUUGGGUUUGUUGCAAGUAGAUGGCGAGAAUUGGUUUAUUUGUAAAAAACCUCCUACCGUCAGUUAAUUUUAACAUUGACCGUUAGUUGACCGUGCAAAGACAAUAUUACCCUCAACAAUAGUUUAUAAACGAAAAUAACUAAAAAAAAACCAAAAUUAUUGGCGCGAAAAGCACAAACCCUAUUUUUUAACAAUUUUAUCCUUGUCAAUUCCAAAAAUUUACAAUAUCAUAGGUAAAGAUUAUGACUAUUUCAUUUUUAAAUUUUUAAUUUUAUCU
rnacentral:lncRNA from 1 species